UAGCAGUUUUGUAAGGAAUUGGGACGUGGU
rnacentral:piRNA from 1 species